rnacentral:lncRNA from 1 species
GCGGCCUUUUAUUGGGGAACAAGAAAUUCAGGGGAAAAUUCCAUCCAAUGAAGGUCGAGGGGGGCAGCAUUCCAAGGUCAGGGACAGUGAUUGGCCUCAGGAUCAGUGGUCAGUCACACCCCCACACAGACAGGCUCUCGCACCUGGAGAGGGUGGGGAUAGCUCCGACACAGUUUGGCCAGAAUGCCUCACACCCAAUCCGGGAGGUGCCCAAUCACGUGCAAGAAUGGUUUCCCACACUGAACCAUUGCUCAACAUGGGUGGGAUAACAAGUCUGGAGGCCCCCUGAGUCUAGGGAUAGAUGAUUUCCAGUGAAAGAGGGUUCCACACAGAGUUAUUAUUUAAUGAUACCAGUAUUUGUGUGCAGUGGGGGCCAAAGGUCUUUAAUUGGAAAACGGCUCCUUACCCCACACCCAGUCCUCACUCCAGGCUCUGUCUCUGGGUGGCUCUCUAUGCUGAUGCCAGCAGGGAAGUCCAACUUUCUCUUCAUCUAGAUUUUUCCUAGGCAAAUGGGUGAUCCCAGAAUGCAGGCCAUUUUCUCUUGUUGGUGUCCACCUGGGACUGCAGUGAACACUGGGAGGGUCAGGUCAUGUUUGUGUUGCUCAGCUUUUCAUUCCAGUGGCAAAAAUCCUCACAUGACCAACUUAAAGGGAGAAACGGUUUAUUCUGCUCAUGGUUCCAGAAAUUCCAGUCCAUGUUGGUGGACUCCAUUGUUUCUGGGCAUGGUGGGCAGAGGGGCAGAGUGAUGCUGAUCUCAUCAUGGCAUGUGGAGCAGGGAGACAGAGAGAGAGGAAAGGGCCAGGGAUAAGACUGACAUUUCU